CUGCUGCCUCCCGUAGGAGUCUGGGCCGUGUCUCAGUCCCAGUGUGGGGGGCCUUCCUCUCAGAACCCCUACGCAUCGUCGCCACGGUGGGCCGUCACCCCGCCGUCUAGCUAAUGCGCCGCAUGCCCAUCCGCCACCGGAUCGCUCCUUUGGCCACCGGAGGAUGCCCUCCGGUAGCGUCACGGGGUAUUAGGCCGCGUUUCCGCGGGUUAUCCCCCUGUGGCGGCCAGGUUGCAUACGUGUUACUCACCCGUGCGCCGGUCGCCGGG
rnacentral:rRNA from 1 species